rnacentral:rRNA from 1 species
AACGAACGCUGGCGGCAUGCCUAACACAUGCAAGUCGAACGAGAUCUUCGGGUCUAGUGGCGCACGGGUGCGUAACGCGUGGGAAUCUGCCCUUUGGUUCGGAAUAACAGUUGGAAACGACUGCUAAUACCGGAUGAUGAUGAAAGUCCAAAGAUUUAUCGCCAGAGGAUGAGCCCGCGUAGGAUUAGCUAGUUGGUGUGGUAAAGGCGCACGAAGGCGACGAUCCUUAGCUGGUCUGAGAGGAUGAUCAGCCACACUGGGACUGAGACACGGCCCAGACUCCUACGGGAGGCAGCAGUGGGGAAUAUUGGACAAUGGGCGAAAGCCUGAUCCAGCAAUGCCGCGUGAGUGAUGAAGGCCUUAGGGUUGUAAAGCUCGUUUACCCGGGAUGAUAAUGACAGUACCGGGAGAAUAAGCUCCGGCUAACUCCGUGCCAGCCGCCGCCGUAA